rnacentral:misc_RNA from 1 species
AACUGCGAUAAGUAAUGUGAAUUGCAGAAUUCAGUGAAUCAUCGAGUCUUUGAACGCACAUUGCGCCCCCUGGCAUUCCGGGGGGCAUGCCUGUCCGAGCGUCAUUGCUGCCCUUCAAGCCCGGCUUGUGUGUUGGGUCGUCGUCCCCUCCGGGGGACGGGCCCGAAAGGCAGCGGCGGCACCGCGUCCGGUCCUCGAGCGUAUGGGGCUUUGUCACCCGCUCGAUAAGGACCGGCCGGGCGCCAGCCGGCGUCUCCAACCUUUUUUUCUCAGGUUGACCUCGGAUCAGGUAGGAAUACCCGCUGAACUUAAGC